ensembl:lncRNA
AUGUCCCAGUCAGCCCAAGUCGGGAAAAGCCAUCAAACUUUUCUAACUUUAUGUCUAAAAAAAACCACAAAAACAAACCAGAAGAAAGGGAAACACCACGGAGCCAAAUGGCUACCUCGGGAGGCCAAGGGGUUGGAUUUGCUGAAGCAGGGGCUUUGUGAGGGCACAGGGUGCAGUGCCAGCCACAGCUGCUUGUGGAUACGUGGAAGAAUUGAGCUUUGUCUGCCGUGUUCUCCUUGGCUGGUGUCUGGAAGAGGUGACAGUAUUUCACCUCCACCUUGCUGCUGUGUGGCCUCAAAAGCCCGGACAGGCAAUGCAGAGAGACAUCUGGAUCGUCCCUUCUGCACCUCUCCCUGUCCUCAGCCUCCCGUCUUUUGGGGAGGGGACGUGCAGGGGACAGCGCAGCCGGGGCUCCACGUGCCGGGUCCCAGCCAGAGACAUCCACGGUGCAGCCCGGAGCCAGGCAGAGCAGCGCCCGGCUGCUCCAUCCCACAUCUCCACGGGGGCUGCGAGGAGCUAAUGGUUUUUAAUAAAAGAGAGGGGUCCCAUCAGCCCAGCACCACGCGGCCCCUCCAGGAGCCAUUAGGGGCUCCCCAGGGCUGGACACGCUCUCCUCUUCCCUUCCUUGGGAGAGCGGCCCCUUUUUUUUCCACAUUUCUCCUCUCCGCUGCUCAGCCCAUUAGCCGAGACAUUAAAUUUUAACAUUUUCGUCGCUCUGUGCAGCAAGCUGGUGAGUGGGUGCCUGGGUGGGUGCCAGGGCCCUGGGGGAAAGGCAGCGGAGGAGGCACCCGCUGCACCCCGCGGGGCGGAGAGGGGCUCCCGAUGCCUGCGGGAUGCUGGCGCCCGCACCCAGGCAUGGCUGGGGCAUGCCGUGCCCUGCAGGAACUGUCCCUCCCUGGUGACAAAGGUGACGGCUGUGAGUUAGGGAUGAAUCGCCCUCCGGGUUUGGUCCUGGGGAGGUUUGCACCGAGGACAGUCCCCGGCACCGAUGCCAUGCGGAACAGGAGCAGCCUGCCCACAGCACAGCCCUCGGUGGCAUGGCCAGGAGCUUUCUGUCCAUGAGAGUUUAAAAUCCAUCGAUUUUUGCCAUUAGGAUGGGAGUGGCUGGGGCAGAUGCGCUGCAACCGGAGCGGCGCGCUGAAUAAUUCACGGCGAGAGAUGACGAAGCCGAUGGCCAGGCUGGGGAAGCCUCCCCACGUCCUCCCACGGGGACCUGGCCUCUGCUUUUGCCCCAGGGGGUGGGACACGGGCUGGGACGAGGGCCUGGUGCUCCCGGACACCACCACGGCCGCCCUGCCUCGCACCGCCAGCACAGCGCUGAGUUUGCCAGGUCUCAGCCGCGGCGCUGCCAAACCCCACGGCACCAGCACGGAGCCCGGGCAGGGCCGGCGGCGGCAGCCGAGGAGUUAAUUCCCAGCCUCGCCGCAUGGCUCGGGAGCUAUUAAUACCCGCACGCUGCCUGAGCCGCCAGAGCGAGCGGCGGCUCUGCCGGUGAGAGCGGCCCCGCGGAGCCGCGGCUCGCCGCCGGCACAACUUUCCUCCGCGGGCACGCGGGGCACCCGGCCCGGCCGCCUGCCUGCCACGAGUCCUGCGCCGGGGACGCUGCCGCGGGGACGCGGCGGUGGCGGGGCCACGGGCACCGGGGCUGUGCCUGCCGCCUGGGUGCCACAUGGGCGCUGGGUGCCGGAGUGGGGUGGCCGCG